GCGUGGGAACCUACCCUUAGGUACGGAACAACAGUUGGAAACGACUGCUAAUACCGUAUGUGCCCUAUGGGGGAAAGAUUUAUCGCCUAAGGAUGGGCCCGCGUUGGAUUAGCUAGUUGGUGAGGUAAUGGCUCACCAAGGCGACGAUCCAUAGCUGGUCUGAGAGGAUGAUCAGCCACACUGGGACUGAGACACGGCCCAGACUCCUACGGGAGGCAGCAGUGGGGAAUAUUGGACGAUGGGCGAGAGCCUGAUCCAGCCAUGCCGCGUGCAGGAAGACUGCCCUAUGGGUUGUAAACC
rnacentral:rRNA from 1 species